AGUGCUCCUGCUGACCUUCCCUGUCUGCAGCCCAGCUUUGGACUGUGGAGAUGCCCUCAGCCUCUACUCAGUGGCUCCAGCCUCAUAUUUGCGUGCUAUACCUUUAACCUCAAGCCCUCUUGCUGCUAACUUAAGCUGUGACUGUCCAGGACCUGCACACACACACACAUGCACGCAUGCACACACACACACACACACACACACACACAUAAGGUGAACACACAGGAUGAGGCCCUGAAAACUCAUUUCACCCGUGUACCUCACCCAAAAAUUCCCCUUUGUACUCUUAUCUUUAUCUCUAACUGACAGCAUGAAGGUAGCCCGAAGUCCCCUCACCCUGUCUGUCCUCCUGAUUCUCUAGCCCAGUUCCCUCUAGCUCCAGCACAGACUCUUAUCUCCAGCCCUGACUGCUGAAACCCUCCAGCCCCAGCUCCAGCCCCUCAGGAGGGGACUGCGUGGGAGGAAUGACUCCAGCAAGCCGGCAGCUGACCCGUCUCCUGCCUGCACGCCUCCCGCUGUGGUCCACUGCUGGUGGUCUUCAGCUCUCUCCUCGUCCCACCCCCAUGGUCUGCUGACAGCCCAGCCCAGUGCAUCCCUGCCAUCUCUGCUCUGCCACUGGUCCUCCCAACAACCAACUUACAGCUUCCAAUUGUGGACAAGAUAAGGACCAUUGCCCAGGCUGUCUAUGGAGCCAAAGAUAUCGAACUCUGUCCUGAGGCACAAGUCAAAAUAGAUCGUUACACUCAGCAGGGUUUUGGAAAUUUGCCCAUCUGCAUGGCAAAGACCGAUCUUUCUCUGUCUCACCAACCUGACAAAAAAGGUGUGCCAAGGGACUUCAUCUUACCUAUCAGUGAUGUCCGGGCCAGCAUAGGUGCUGGGUUCAUUUACCCUUUGGUCGGAACGGUGCACCACUGACAUCAUUGCUCGGCUGGACUCUGGAAAGCAGGAAAUUGCUGGAGCAUGUUUGGGGCAUCAGUGAUGUCACCCGCUACGAAUGCCGGGUGGGGUUACUGGACUGAGGGCCAUGAAAAAAGAAAGCUGCGGCCCUGCCCCGUGGACUCACUGCCAUUCUGUUCUUUCUCACGUUUCAGUUCAGCUCACUUUGUUUUCCGUCCCCCUCCCUCUACUGUAAAAGUAUGUACUCAGUGUUUCAUUUCCUGCUGGAUCUGAUUCAGGUCAGUGAUGAAGUUCUUUGCGAGCUCAGUGGGGAGGCGUUUCCUCCCUUUCAUACCGGCCCUGCUUAGGGAUGCAUGGUUGGUUAUAUACUUGCUUCACUCAGUUAGGCAUGGAGGAGAAUUCCUUCAGACCUCAUAGGUUUAAAUCAAAUGCAUGACCCUUCACAUUUUCCAGAGAUUUAGACAGUUACAGUGAGACAAUUAAACAUUCACCCCCCAAGCUGCACUUGGAGAUGUGUAAGCAGUAAUGUAGUCAUGCGCUCCCCAUGAUAUGAGAGUGUGCAGAAUGCCACUCCCCACAGCAGGUCCACCAGGACCUCCUCAGGGAGCAUCUUGCCUACAAAAUCACCCAUCCCUUUUUCCCCACUCUCUUCACUUACCCUACGUUUCCACUCCCACACCCACAAAUAAACAAAGAAACUUUGAGC
rnacentral:lncRNA from 1 species